CAUAAUCACAUACCUUAUUUUCUUUGUAUUAUUAUCAUCUGAUAUUUCAAGAUUUAUACACCUUCCAAGAACAACUUUUUCUUGGAAGAUCAUCAAAAAAAAUUCAAGUCUUAUCAAAUUUCAUAGACAUUAGGGAGGAUCCGACAGAAGUACGAAAUUUCGAUAUUUCCACAAACAUGUGUAGCAACAUACAACAAGAUGAAGUAGCUAUAGUUAUGGUUCCAUUUCCAGCACAAGGCCAUCUCAAUCAACUUCUUCAACUAUCCUGUUUAAUCUCAUCAUCAUAUGAUCUCCUGUCUAUUAUGUUGGCUCAGCUAUACAUAAUCGUCAAGCUCGUGUUCGAGCCAACGCCUUAAAUCCAUCAUACAUAGCCAAAAUCCAUUUCCAUGACAUCCCAACUCCUGAAUUUGCCUCACCACCACCUGACUUUAAUGCCUUGAGCAAAUUCCCAUCACAACUUCAGCCAUUAUGGGAUGCUUCUAUGCUUCUUCGCGAGUCCAUUGCUUCCUUCUUACGCGAUAUUUCUUCAAAAGCAAGACGAGUCAUUGUUGUUCAUGAUUCUUUAAUGUCUUAUAAUGUUCAGGAUGUUUCGUCCUUGCUCAAUGCGGAAUCAUAUGUAUUUAAUUGCAUUUCAGUGUUCACUUUGUAUUGUUUGAUAUCAUUGUCUAUGGGAAUGCAUGUUCAACUUGAAGAGGGAUUGCUUAAAAAGUUACCUUCCAUUGAAGGAACUUUGACAGAUAAAAUCAAGAAUCUUGGAGCUUCUCAGAGACCAUAUAUGGAUAUUAGAUCAGGUGAUAUCCAUAAUACAAGUAAAGUAAUCGAAGGCGAGUUUCUUGAUUUGCUUGUACAAGUAGCAAGUAAACAGGAGAAGAAACAAUGGGCAAUUGGACCAAUUUUGCCUAUUAAACUAGAUUAUGUCUUGAAUAAGAAUGAUAUAUGUCUCGAGUGGCUAAACAAACAACCGCCAAGAUCAGUUCUAUAUGUAUCUUUCGGAACAACAACUUCACUUUCUGAUAGGGAAAUUAAGGAGCUCGCGAUGGGAUUAGAGCAGAGCAAACAGAGGUUUUUAUGGGUGUUGAGAGAUGCUGAUAGAGGUGAUAUCUUUACCGGAGAAGCUAGAAGACUUGAGUUGCUGGAAGGAUUUGAAGAAAGAGUAAAAGGGGUUGGGUUAGUGGUGAGAGAAUGGGCACCACAGCCAGAAAUCUUGGCUCAUUCGUCCACGGGGGGUUUCAUGAGUCAUUGCGGAUGGAAUUCUUGCAUUGAGAGUAUUACUAUGGGAGUGCCAAUAGCUGCUUGGCCUAUGCAUUCUGACCAACCAAAAAAUGGUUUCUUGGUUACGGAAUUGUUGAAAAUAGGCCUGAUUGUGAGGGAGUGGGAGAAACGCGAGGAGCUGGUGAGUGCAUCCACUAUUGAGAAAGUUGUGAGGAAGUUGAUGGCAUCAGAAGAAGGUGAUGCAAUUAGGAAAAGAGCAGAAGAAUUGGGAGAAACAGUAAGGCGGUCCACAGAGAAAGGGGGUGCUUCUCGAAUGGAGUUGGAUUCUUUCAUAGCGUAUAUCACAAGAUAGACUUGAUUUGGCUCUCAGUGUGGUGAACUUUUCGAUUCAUUGUAUAUAUCCAUUUCCACUGCAUUGACACGACAAAUACUACUAUUGGAGUGAAUCAAGGGAUUGUGUCUUUUGGAGCUCCUUUAGCAGCUUGGACAAUACAUUCAGAUCAGCCAAGGAAUUCUCAACUUGUAACAAAGUACAUGAAAAUUGGAGUAAUUGUUAGGCCAUGGACGCGUUAUGAUGAACUUGUAACAUCAGAGAGUUGAAAUGCUGUGAAAAACAUUGAUGACUUCAAAAGAGGGAGAUGAGAUGAGGGAAAAAGCAACAAUUUUGAGCAAUGCUAUGCUGGAUGGUGGCAUCAACCGCCCUAGAUGGACCUUCAUUGCUCACAUUACUCGUUGAAAUAAUAAGAAUUUAUGCAAGAAUUCAACAAUAGAUUUUAUAGGAAUAACUUGUGUUUUAUUUAUGUGUGAAUGAAGAAGAAGAGACUACAAGAAUUGCACAGAAACAGCUAUAAUUAUUACAUGCAUAGAAGCGCGGUUUUUAUUGCCAUUAUAAUAUGUAAACUGGAAAUAUAACAACCUUCAAACAAUUUCACAUACUCCUGGACAAUCUUACAUCGGGUUUCAACGAGCAAUGUGGGCGAUGAAAGAAUCCAUCUCAGCGCGGUUCAUGCCCCCAUCCAUCUGACUUUUUGAUAGCAUUGCUCAAAACUGCAGCUCUUUUCCUCAUCUCAUCUCCCUCUGAUGAAGCCAUCAAUGUUCUCACAGCAUUUUCAACUAUCUCUGAUGUAACCACUUCAUUAUGACGCGCCCAUGGUCUAACAAUUAGUCCAAUUUUCAAGUACUUUGUUAUAAGUUGAGAAUUCCUUGGCUGAUCUGAAUGCAUUGGCCAUGCUGCUAUAGGAACUCCAAAGGACAUACUCUCUAUACACGAAUUCCAUCCGCAAUGACUCAUAAAACCGCCAGUUGAACUAUGUGCUAAAAUUUCCAAUUGUGGUGCCCAAUCUCUAACUAUAAUCCCUCUUUCUUUUGUUCUCUCUUCAUAUCCUUCAGGCAAUUGUGCUUUCCUAACUUCACUUGUAAAAACAUCUCAUUUGUCAGCAUCUCGGAGCACCCAAACAAACUUCUGGCAACUCUUCUCUAGUCCAAUCGCAAGCACUUUGAUUUCUUCAUCACACAAUGAAGUAGUCGUGCCAAAUGACACGAAAAUAAAUGAGUUGCGCUCUUGUUUGUCAAGCCAAUGAAGGGACUCGUGGCGUUUGUUCGAGUCUUUGCUCUUCUCUUGUGGCUCCAUGGGGUUGAAUGGACCUAUAGCCCAUUGCUUCAUACCAUCGUAUUCUUUGGCCAUUAAAUCAAGGUACAAAC